GAUAUGACUGUCUUGAGCACAUACGUGCUUGCUUGCUGUGGACUUGGGAGAGAGCUGGCUUCUCUUGGGCAUGCUUCAUAUUCUGCUUUGAUGGCCCUUCCUCUCAAAAGCUUGUCCCGUUGUGACUUUCUCCAUGAGCUUAGCAGCAUCUCUGGAGGGCUCCUCAGCACUGCCUCUUGUUGCAUCAAGAGCAAAAUUUGGGAACAAAUGGAAAAGUCUGUGGAUCCAUAGUUUCUGCUAUAACAAACAAAGCUUUUAUGUUUAUAUUGCACUUCCACGUCAGAAGAACCUGUGGAAGAAUCCAGGAAAAUGCCUAGUGUCAAUGUGAGGAAAGUACAUGGAUGGCAGCAGACUACCAGGACAUGAAAAGAAUAGCUCCUUCCUGACUUACUCUCUCUUGGAUCAAUUACUGUGAUGGAAACCAGCUGCCAUGUCAGGAGUACACUCAGCUGGCCUAAUGGGAGGCCCACACAGAGAGGCACUGAGGUCGCCAAUCAAUAACCAACACCAAUACAGCGCAGCUUUAGCACAUUGAAUAUGUCAUACUACUCUCUCCUGGACUGCAGAGUUUUUGCUGACAAAUCUGCUGACAGCCAUGUUGGAACUCUCUUGAUUGUGGUGAAGCCUAAGAAACACUGUCUAAGCUAAAGGGCCAAGGUCAACAUCAACAGCGAAAGAGGAGACUUUGGGACUUGGAAGUGACUCCUAAAAUAGAGUAUUUUUAAAACUAUGGAACAUAACCUCAAUAACAUUAUUGAGAAUGGCUACUUGGCAAAUAAGGGAACUUUUGCAUCAGAGAUUAUUUAUGAUACAUCACAAUAGCAAUCUUAAAAAUGGAAGCAGAUUCUGAGAGACCUAAAGCACAAAUAAAUGAUAAAGGAUUGCAAGUGUAAAUAUUAGGUUUCUCUAGGAUGAAGAAAUCUCCUUAAAAAAAGGCCUACGUUUCAAAGCCUAGCUGUGCAGGAUGAAUGAAAAUCCAUUUGCCCAAUAAACUAGAAAAUCUAGAAGAAAUGGAUAAAUUCCUUGACACAUACACCCUCCCAAGACUAAACCAGGAAGAAGUUGAAUCUCUGAAUAGACCAAUAACAGGCUCUGAAAUUGUGGCAAUAAUCAAUAGCUUACCAACCAAAAAAAGCCCAGGACCAGAUGGAUUCAUAGCCGAAUUCUACCAGAG
rnacentral:lncRNA from 10 species